rnacentral:rRNA from 1 species
CAAUACACGACCGUACCGCAAACCGACACUGGUGCGCGAGAUGAGUAUUCUAAGGCGCUUGAGAGAACUCAGGAGAAGGAACUCGGCAAAUUGACACCGUAACUUCGGAAGAAGGUGUGCCUUUAGUAGGUGAACCUGUACAAGGGGAGCCCAAUGAGGUUGCAAAAAAUCGGUGGCUGCGACUGUUUAAUAAAAACACAGCACUCUGCAAACACGAAAGUGGACGUAUAGGGUGUGACGCCUGCCCGGUGCUGGAAGAUUAAAUGAUGGGGUGCAAGCUCUUGAUUGAAGUCCCAGUAAACGGCGGCCGUAACAAUAACGGUCCUAAGGUAGCGAAAUUCCUUGUCGGGUAAGUUCCGACCUGCACGAAUGGCGUAACGAUGGCCACACUGUCUCCUCCUGAGACUCAGCGAAGUUGAAAUGUUUGUGAUGAUGCAAUCUCCCCGCGGAAAGACGGAAAGACCCCAUGAACCUUUACUGUAGCUUUGUAUUGGACUUUGAACAGAUCUGUGUAGGAUAGGUGGGAGGCUUUGAAGUGUGGUCGCUAGAUCGCAUGGAGCCAACGUUGAAAUACCACCCUGGUGUGUUUGAGGUUCUAACCUAGGCCCGUAAUCCGGGUCGGGGACAGUGCAUGGUAGGCAGUUUGACUGGGGCGGUCUCCUCCCAAAGCGUAACGGAGGAGUUCGAAGGUACGCUAGGUACGGUCGGACAUCGUGCUAAUAGUGCAAUGGCAUAAGCGUGCUUAACUGCGAGACUGACAAGUCGAGCAGAUGCGAAAGCAGGACAUAGUGAUCCGGUGGUUCUGUAUGGAAGGGCCAUCGCUCAACGGAUAAAAGGUACUCUGGGGAUAACAGGCUGAUACCGCCCAAGAGUUCAUAUCGACGGCGGUGUUUGGCACCUCGAUGUCGGCUCAUCUCAUCCUGGGGCUGUAGCCGGUCCCAAGGGUAUGGCUGUUCGCCAUUUAAAGAGGUACGUGAGCUGGGUUUAAAACGUCGUGAGACAGUUUGGUCCCUAUCUUCCGUGGGCGCUGCAGAUUUGAGGAAGCCUGCUCCUAGUACGAGAGGACCGGAGUGGACACACCUCUGGUGUAUCGGUUGUCACGCCAGUGGCAUUGCCGAGUAGCUAUGUGUGGAAGAGAUAACCGCUGAAAGCAUCUAAGCGGGAAACUCGUUUCAAGAUGAGAUCUGCCGGGGCCUUGAGCCCCCUAAAGAGUCGUUCAAGACCAGGACGUUGAUAGGUCGGGUGUGGAAGCGCAGUAAUGCGUUAAGCUAACCGAUACUAAUUGCUCGUGCGGCUUGACCUA